rnacentral:lncRNA from 10 species
UCUAGGUCUGAGCAGGGCCCACUCCCCGGGGGCGCAUCAGCUCCAUCCCGGCACCCUUUACACUGGCCUUCUCUUCACAAAGGACCACAGGUCAUCCUCAAGCCUUCCUCCCAGGCUAUCCUUGUCCCUGAAUACUAAUGUCUAAAGGUCAGCCCAGCUACCAGCAGUGUGCAUGUGAUGUGUCCCAUCUCCCCUUCGGAUUGGAGGAAGAAGCUGUGUCCCUCCCAUCAGACAGACGGUCUCCUUAAAGGUAGGCAUUGCGUCCACUCGGAUUCUCCUGGUCUCCAGCUUGGGCUCUGCUGGAAAGAAGAGGAAGUAUUUAGCAAGGGUGAAGGAUGGGUUCUUACUUCCCUGAGGCAACCAGAGAUAAGAAAAGACCAGAAUAUGAAUAUCCAGCAUUCCACAAAGAAUCCUACAGGCAGGGAUAUUGCCCAAUCACCAGUGCCUCGCAUCCCAGUUCUAUCCAAGAUCCAAGCUUGAUAUCCUCCUGAAAGACUUCCUGAAUCAGGUCACCAACAUGGACAUCUGAACUUCCAGAAUCAGGUCACCGUCUUUCUUCUCAUCUCUGGAUGUAUUUGGAGCUCAUUUGUCUGACGGUUUUUGAAUGCUAUCUUUUAAAAAUAAACUUUUACAAUUUGGGUUUAAUAAUUCUAGAUUUAUAGAAAAGUUGAAAAGAAAGUACAGAAAGUUCCCAUAUAUCCCUUAUCCAGUUCUCUUAAUGUUAACCUCCUACAUCAUCAUGGAACAUUUGCCAAAAUGAAGAUGUCAACACUGGUGCUUUGCUGUGAACUAAACUCCAGACUUUAUUCGGAUUUCAUGAAUUUUUCUCCUAAGGUCCCUUUUCCGUUCCGGCAUUCCACCCAGGAUAUCACAUUGCAUUUGGUGUUUGUGUCUCCUUGGUCUCCUCUGGUUCUUGAGAGUUUCUCAGUCUCUCCUUGUUUUUCGUGACUGAAGUUUCAAGGAGUACUGGUCAGGUAUUCCAUAGAAUGUCCUACUGUUAGCUUUCAGCAGUAAAAGCCUUUCCACAAACAAAACCUUCUGCAGAGUCCUAAUCAUCAGUGAGAUCUUUAGUGGUUUGGUAGUCAGAAGCAUGACUAGACAUCCCCUCCAAAGAAAAGGAGAAAUUCUUGCCCAGCAGAUAAGAAAGCUCAUCUGGUAGGCCUCCUCAGACUCUGGAGAAAACAUAUUCUACCUUUGGGAAUAUGUUUUACAGGUGACAUUAAAGGCUGUCAAAUUUGAAUGAGACACAGAGCAAGAAAGAGCUGUUCAACAGUUCCAGGUGUGGUGCAAAU